GUCUUUCACAUUCAACUUGGCCAUGGUUUCAGCUUGAGACCUUGGACUGCUCUUCAAUUUUUCUUUUAGGACUAACACAUGGGUGAGUGAAAAGGGCUAACUCACUUUCCUGGCUUUUCUGGAGGUACUAGCCUCUGGAGAGGCCCCUUGUCUUGGGAGAGGCCUCAUGGCUAGAACCUUUGCUUAAAUUACCCCUGGAUCCUUUUGCUUGAGCCUCUGAAGCCCUGCCUGGUUUGGAACCGGCCAGAGUAAGUAUCUAUUCUCUCUUAGUUUGUUACUUUUACUCUUUCCCUCUAUUUUAUAAACAAAUUGCUAUAAAGUCAUUCUGAAUUGAGUAAUAAUUUUGAAGACCAUAGUCUUAUCUAACAUGUUUUUGUUUGUUUUUAACUCUUAUAAGCCAGAAAGAAAAAAAAAAGAAGACUGUGAAGCAACAAUCAGGAUAAAGGAGGACUUAUCAGCUUCCACACUAAAUGAUCAAAAGCCUCUACCACAAUGCCUACUAUGUGCCAGACACUGGUGGGAAUACAAAGGCUAUGAAGAUAUAGAAGGGAAAAAAGCAUGCCAUGAGAGCUUGGAUUUUUCUAAUAGACAAUUCUACAUAUAAGUAGGUAUUAUAAAACAAGAAAAAGAAUAGAACUCUAACAACUAAAAGCAAUCAAGAAGUUUUAUUGUUUUGACAAUAAAUAAAUAAAGUUUUUCUUUCCUAUUUGGCA
rnacentral:lncRNA from 1 species